GAUGAACGCUGGCGGCGUGCCUAAUACAUGCAAGUCGAGCGAACGGACGAGAAGCUUGCUUCUCUGAUGUUAGCGGCGGACGGGUGAGUAACACGUGGAUAACCUACCUAUAAUACUGGGAUAACUUCGGGAAACCGGAGCUAAUACCGGAUAAUAUUUUGAACCGCAUGGUUCAAAAGUGAAAGACGGUUUUGCUGUCACUUAUAGCUGGAUCCGCGCUGCAUUAGCUAGUUGGUAAGGUAACGGCUUACCAAGGCAACGAUGCAUAGCCGACCUGAGAGGGUGAUCGGCCACACUGGAACUGAGACACGGUCCAGACUCCUACGGGAGGCAGCAGUAGGGAAUCUUCCGCAAUGGGCGAAAGCCUGACGGAGCAACGCCGCGUGAGUGAUGAAGGUCUUCGGAUCGUAAAACUCUGUUAUUAGGGAAGAACAUAUGUGUAAGUAACUGUGCACAUCUUGACGGUACCUAAUCAGAAAGCCACGGCUAACUACGUG
rnacentral:rRNA from 1 species